GAUGAACGCUGGCGGCGUGCUUAACACAUGCAAGUCGAACGGUGAAGCAGGAGCUUGCUCUUGUGGAUCAGUGGCGAACGGGUGAGUAACACGUGAGCAACCUGCCCCUGACUCUGGGAUAAGCGCUGGAAACGGCGUCUAAUACUGGAUAUGUGAUGUGACCGCAUGGUCUGCAUCUGGAAAGAAUUUCGGUUGGGGAUGGGCUCGCGGCCUAUCAGCUUGUUGGUGAGGUAAUGGCUCACCAAGGCGUCGACGGGUAGCCGGCCUGAGAGGGUGACCGGCCACACUGGGACUGAGACACGGCCCAGACUCCUACGGGAGGCAGCAGUGGGGAAUAUUGCACAAUGGGCGGAAGCCUGAUGCAGCAACGCCGCGUGAGGGAUGACGGCCUUCGGGUUGUAAACCUCUUUUAGCAGGGAAGAAGCGAAAGUGACGGUACCUGCAGAAAAAGCACCGGCUAACUACGUGCCAGCAGCCGCCGCCG
rnacentral:rRNA from 1 species